UCCCCUCCCCCAGGAGACAUUUUGGGCACGUCCCAGCAGCAGGUACCCGAAGAGCCAGUGUACGAGCGGCCAGAGCCCUAGUCAGGCUCCUUCGGAGGGCAAGCAUGGCGCGGCUUCGAGCGCUGCGAAGGGCAGCGGCCGGUAUUCUUCCUUAAAUUCCUUCUCCUGUGGCUUCUCUACUGAUUAAAACAAAAACAGCAACCAAGAAGCUCAGAGAGACUAAGAGACAAAGGUAACAAACUUUGUCUUGUUCCUGAUCCAGGGGUGUGUCAGCAAAUAGAAGCACCUGUAGUUCAUCAGCGGAGUGAAGCCCAUCAUUCUACUGGCUCUCCAAUUCUGUCUAGGACAUGGUUUCCAUUUCUAACAGGAACAGCCAGGAAACAAAGGACCCAAAGUGAUAUGUGAGAUUUUGAGGGGAAAAAAAAUGAAGAAGGUGGUUUUAUUAUUCUUAAAUAUCCAGGUAAACACUUGAAAAUCAGUUUACCUUCUGGUCAGAAGUAUGGAGCAGGUAGAAAAAAAGAAACUAGGGAACAAGUAGAUUUGAGAAGUAAAAGGAAAAAAAGUACAAAGCAACUAAAGAAUUAUAAACAACACAGGCAGAUAACCAAGAUGUGACACUGUUCUAGGAGCCACUAAGUUCAUGUAGACAGUGCUGAAGGCUGAGGGGAGGUCCAGGUGGAUAGGAUCCAAAUAAGACAUUUCAAAUCUCUUGUCAUCUAAGAUACACUACGAAGUUGGGAUUAUGGGGGAAAGAAAAAUUAGUUUAUGCUUUUAAAAAGUCUGCCUUUUGUUUAAAAUUAGGUUGAGGUAAAUAUUUCCCUUAAGUCAGUAAGAAAGUGAAAUCAGCAA